AAGUGCCCCCAAGCUCUAAUCCCUUGAGCCAGGGCCAUGGAAGCCCAGAGGUGUGAUGGAGACCCGGGGUAGAACCAUUAAACCACAAGUCCAGGUGGUUUAAUGGACCAUUAAACCCAGAUAGAAAUACUGAGGUUUAUAGUUAAGCAGGGACUGCCCCCAGACUGUCAACCCCUACCACCCCACACUGCUCUCACCUCCUCAUCUUUCUCUCGGAUCAGCCUCUCAGUUUCUGGAUCUGUCCCUGGUGGGACAGCAGGGAUGGGGAAGUCGGUACCACUCUCUCGAGUCAGUUUGCUGAGGGGAAGGGGAAAGGAGGGUUGGUAAGGCUAGGGGGACCCCAGCACCUGCUUGGACUGAGCCCAGGGUCUGUAGAAGAACAAAGGAAGGGCUUGGUCUCACUCAAGGCUGUGCUUGGGAUCCCCACCCUUGCCAGCUCUGUCCUGGCUUCUGGUCAUACUUGCGAUUCCUCUCUUUCACCACCAGGCGGGUCAUGCUCUGGAUGCACUGUGCCCGGUAGUUCUCAUAAUGUGUCUCCCGUGUCACAUCCUUCAGGUCCUGCAUGUGAGUACGCACCAGCAUUGUCCUCAGCUUCACAAAGUCGCAGUGUCCUGGAUUUUCCACUGCACAGCAAGGCUAGGGGUCAACCAGGAGCACUGGGAGAGCCACUGAGGGCAAGGAGAUACCCAGGUCACCAGCUCAAUGCUUUACCUUCCACAAUGCCCCAGGGGUAGAGACGGCCCCGAACUCGCCGCCCUCUGGCCUCUACCACAGUGUUGCUGCCAAUUACAGCAAAUGGGAUACUUUCCUGGAAGAAGUUAAGGGUGCCUGGUCAAUACUCCCUGUUCUCACCUGUUCUUUUUCACCUAUAUCUUUAUCUUUUCUGCUUCACUCUAGAAAAGCAGCGUGCUCUCCCACCCCUUAUAUAGAAUUCCACUUCCCUCUUCUGCCCAGAAGAAACAAGAUGGAAAGGGAUGCCCUCGCGUAGCCCCACCUUUAGGGCUUGGUCCUGUAAUUUGAAGUCUUCAUCCUCAUCAGAGUCACAGUCUGGGAACUGAUAGACCUUGAUUCCAAAGUGCUCAAUCUCCUCUCGGAUCUGGCAAACACAUGAGGGCCCACAGUUCUGGGGACCCCAUCCUUUCCAGAAGCCCAGUUGCUACCCUCCCCCCACCGGCUUCCCUCACUUUGCGUUUCUUGCGCUCCACUUCAGGAGGGGUCAGUGUGUCCGCCUUAGCCAAGAUAGGCACGAUGUUGACCCGCUGAUGCAGGGCCUUCAUGAAUUCAACAUCCAAUGGCCGGAGCCUGGGAGAUAGGAAUCUGUGACCACCUGCUAGUGGCAGCCCUGCCCUGGUGCUCCCAGCCUGUUCCCUUGGCAGCACCUGGUAGUGUUGGGAGCCUCAGGCUCAGACCAUACCCGUGGCCGAAGGGUGAGAUGAAGUACAGGCAGCAGUGCACCCUGUUGUCUUGAAUGUUCUUGCGGUUCAGGCCACUCUCAUCUCGGAAAUACUGCUCAAACUGCUGAUCGAUGUAUUCUGCCACAGGCUUCCAGCUGGAGCAGGGACAGACAAGCAGAGAAACUGUGGGAGUGGGGGCUGCCUCGUGAGCUUUGGGACUACAGAGUAGCCCACAUCCUGAGCAGUGUUUUCAAGACUCUGUUAUCCCCUGGCUUGCUUUACUACAUCUUCAUGGAGGUCCCUGGGUGGGACAGGGGUGCAUCUGACAUGUCCCAAUAGAAAAUCAGACUAAGCACACAGGCAAAGUUCAAUAAAUGCUAGUUUGAUGAGAGGAAAAAAGCCUAGGUGACCAAACAAACCAAUAAGAAUAAGGUGCCUGCAGGUGAACACCAAUUGGAAGCCAGGACAGCCCUCAGUCAGGUUCACAGUCCAGCCUCAGAAUCUUUAUUUAUGUGUUUCUACUCUAAACCCACCCUUCCAUGAAGGCUCCUUCCAGUGUACAUCUAUGUACACUAUUCUCCCCUUCUCUCCACCACACUGUAAAUAUAUAUGUAUACAUAUACACACUUGGCCUUCUGACUUGUCUCUGUGUCUGCCACUACACUGUCUGACCUAUUUACUAACUGAAGUUGAUUGACACAUAUGUCAGAGAACUGCUGCCAACCCUUCCCAUCCCCGCUGCCACUAGACCAUAAGCCUCUCAGUGACAAGGAUGAUUCAUACUUGUUCUGUAUCCCUUAAAAUGCCCAGCACUGGUUGGACACCUAGUAUAUGCUCAAUAAACUCCUACUUGUUGACUAAAGUAUAUGUGGAGGUGCACUGUAUACUGUGAAGUGCCAAGCAAAUGAAAUGAUUAUUCUUGUGGAAGGAAAGGAAAGGUAUGUAGGUUGAUUGAAGGAGAGGGUGAUACUUGCUACAGUACGAACCAGGUGCUGGUUUGGGUACAGUGUCAUGGCAAGCCCAGUGUACUGAGGCAUAUACCAAGAGUAAAAAGGGUCAUGAUGACAUGGAGGCCACCUCGAUUCAUCAGGAAUAUUUACAUCAGGAGACCAUGUACCAUGUGCCAGCACAGUGCUGUGGCAAGAAUAUAAGAAAAAAUGGCCCUCCCCUCAAGACUAAGACACUGAAGCUGAAGAUGAACCAGUGUGCUGAGCUGAAAAUCACAUGUUUUAAUGAUAAAGCAUGUGCUGAGGACUCAGAGCACAGAAAGGUCUGUAAGAGUCUGAUGAGUCUGUGAGGCAAUUACCCAGGGUCAGCUUUCUGGGAAUGCAAACUGUGCAAUCAACACCAGGUCCUGAUCUCAGAAGGGCCUAUGCUUGGUUUACUUCUCUGCUAUGGCUGUCUUGAAAUUCUUAAUCAUUCUAACCAAGGGGCCCUGCAUUUACAUUUUGUACUGGUGCUGCAAUUAUAAUAGGUAUAAUGUAAACAACCCUUUACUUUAGGGGUUUUUUUAUGUUUAUUUGUUUUGAGAGAGAGAGAGAGAGCAUGCACGUGAGCAGGGAAGGAGCAGAGAGAGAGAAAGGGAGAGAGAGAAUCCUGAGCAGGCUCAACACUGUCAGCCCAGAGACCAACACAGAGCUCCAUCUCAUGAACCGUGAGAUCAUGACCUGAGCUGAAACCAAGAGUUGGACACUUAACCGACUGAGCCACCUGGACACCCUACUUUAGUUGCUAAUACACAUUCACAUGCAUCAAUCUGGGUGAUUUUCAGAUCAACUGGAUAAGAUGGUAAGGGCCAGUAUGUUUCAACUGAAGAAACAGGAAUGCAGUCAUUUGCUGAAGACCACGCAGUUACUAUAUGCUGACCCAAGAUCUGAACUCUUGGGCUAGCCAUCUUAACACUGCCUGCCUAACUUCUUCAUCAAGGGCACCACCUUUUCUCCUGUCUUUAUCAUUCAUCCUCCUUCUCAUCUACUCACUUAGGUCUGACCAUUAUCUAAGCAUCCCUCCAGUUUCUGAAAAAAUAAAGCCAAGGAUGAUGGGGUAUGUGGCAAAGCCACCUCUUCUUCUGGAAGGUAGCCUAGAGGACGCCUGGAAUUUAAACAAAGUUCAACCUAUUUUUUUACCCUUUGCCUCCUCUUUCUCCUCCUCACCACUCCAUCAGUGCACUCUCAUCCCUUUAAUAAACUUGUUUGUGGCACCUAAAAUGUUGCUGGUGAAAGAAAAGGAAGGAGGGGAGGUGGUGUUUAUUGAGCCCCUACUAGAUGUCUGGCCCUGUGCUACAUGUUUCCACAUGUGUUUGCUUUUUUUGAGGCUCUUCUUUCUUAUCUUGUGUCUUCACCCCCAUUACAGAAAGUACAUUAGGUCAGAGUCAGAAAGUUCAUUAAAGAUCAUCUAUUCCCAGAUAAAGAAGAUGUGACACACACACACACACACACACACACACACACACACACACACAAUGGAGUAUUAUUCAGCAAUCAAAAAGAAUGAAAUCUUGCCAUUUGCAAGAUGCUAAGUAUUAUGCUAAGUGAAAUUAGUCAGAGAAAGACAAAUAUCAUAUGACUUCACUCGUAUGUGGAAUUUAAGAUACAAAACAGACGAACAUAAAGGAAGGGAAGCAAAAAUAAUAUAAAAACAAGGAGGGGGUCAAAACAUAAGAGACUCUAAAUACAGAGAACAAACUGAGGAUUGCUAGAGGGGUUGUGGGUGGGGGGAUGGGUUAAAUGGGCAAGGGGCAUUAAGGAAGACACUUGUUGGGAUGAGCACUGGGUGUUAUACAUAGGGGAUGAAUCACUGGAAUCUACUCCAGAAAUCAUUAUUGCACUAUAUGCUAACUAAGUUGGAUGUAAAUUAAAAAUAAAUAAAUAAAUAAAUAGGAAAAAAUAAACAAAAAAAGAUCUUCUAUUCCCACUCUUUUCCUCUCACUUCAGCUGCCCUGUAAAGGGUGGUGGCAUGCUCAAAGGCCAUAAACUCCUGACCAAUUGUGGCUAUGUCUGUGCUUAUGUGUGCAUCCGUGGAUGUAUGUGUGUGUGUAAUGGGAAGGGGGCAGCUGGGGCUGUGCGUGGUCAGACAUACCACUCUGUGUUGUUGACUGCAUCCCCAAAACCCGGCGUGUCCACAAUGGUGAGCCGUAGCCUCACACCCUUCUCUUCUAUGUCCACUGCAUGUUUAGUGAUCUCCACAGUUUGCAUGAUCCGCUCUGCAGGAAAGGGAAACUGAGACCAGGGCAAGGGCAAGGACCUGCCCAGUCAGGACAAACCGCCCACCCCAAUCAGCUUUGCUGCCCAGAAUGCCUCAUCCACACUGCCCCCCUUCCCACCCCAGGCCGCCUGGGGGCCUGUUCUCUGGGAACCAGCAAGGAGCACAUUUCCCAACACAGGAAAUGCCGGUGGCUGUUGGCUCUGGCCCCAGCCUCUUCUCUGCUCCCGGCUCUUUUCUUGGAUUCCUGGAAUCCUUUGGGGGUCAGAGACUCACUCAGAGAGCAGGAUUCUGGUCCCUGCCUGGCUUCAGCACCCAAAUCUUUAGGGAGCUGGCUGGUGGGCUGCCAGGCUAGAUAGGCCUAUGGAGAGAUGCCGUCAAGGCCCUCUAGGAAGCCAUGGUUUCCUGCAUGCUGGGGAAGGCCCCAGCCCCCAGGCUGUGGCAUGAGUUUGAUUUCCCAAGUCAAGUCUGCAUGCCAGUCUCCAUGCCCCUCUCCUUGCCUUACCUUCAGCACCGAGGAGUUUCCGGUCCCGGUACAGAUCAGUGAGGAAGAGGCUAUUGACAAGAGUGGAUUUCCCCAGUCCAGACUCUCCUGACAGGCGAGAGAGGACAGAAGAUAAGAUCUAUAGCCAAAAGGCAACCCCACCAGAACAAGGUGUGUAGAGAGCUGCUUUUUCAUCAAAUUGGGAAGAGACCAACUGCACCAUAGCGUUUUAGAGCGAGAAGGAAGCAGAGAAAACAGCUUGUCUAGCCUUCUUAUUUGAAUGAGGCUCAGUGAGGAUAAGAGGUUGCCCAAGGUCACACAGAACAAGGCAAAUACUAGAAAACUGUUGGUCAGGUGUUCUUUGUACCAUUUCAACCCGCCUCCCCCCAACACACACAUACACACUUUUGGCCACCCAUGGCUCCUGGCUACUUUGCAAAACUGCAUGGCUGCUGGCUGCUUCUUCCUUCCUUACCUAUACCUCCUCCCCAAAUACAUACCAGCCCCACCUGAAACACCCCCUGCCUAGCCCAGCCCUUCCCCAGCUCUACCUGCCACCAUGAGGGUAAAGUCAAAGCCUUUCUUCACAGACUUUCGGUGAACUUGAUUGGGGAGGGUCGCAAAGCCCACAUACUCCUUGUCAUCCUAAUGGACAGGAAGGCAGAGUGUGUCAGAGUGAGAGGCAGGAGGGGUCCCAGGACCCAACACCUUCUCCCUCCCUCCUAGGUCUUUGCCCCAGCCCUAGAGGAAUGGUGUCAAACUCCCUUGAGGCCCCAUCUGGGGCCACCAGCAGGGCUCCUGCCCCUGCUGAUAGUCAGUUUCCAAUGCACCUGGGGGCCAACACCGCAGAACUGGUGCUGACACUAGACAGGAGAGGCCCCAGCUCAACAUGCAUGCAUGCAUAUGUGCACACCUAUACACACACAUGCACAUACAUGCACAGACACUCGGGAUCUCUCUGCUCCCUCCCUGGGUCUUCCAGCACCAGCCCACUGAAAGGCAAAGACAGGGCUGGAGGCUCUACCUCAGAGGAGUCAUAGGGAUCAAGCUUGCCCCAUGGGCUGCGGGGUCGGGCUGAGGGGCUGAGAGGGGCUGAGGCAGAGAAGUACUGCUGGCUGUCAGAGGGCUGGGGCCACGAGGGGCCUUUGAACUCCAGGUCAUCCUGGUAGAGGUCCGGGGCCUGGGGCUUUGGCUCCAGAACUUGGGGCCUGGACACCCAGGUCUUGGCCUCUGGUUGGUGGCAGCUCUCGCUUCCUGGGAAAUCCUUCACGAACUUGUUCAGUUCUGUGUCAUCCGUGGCCUCCAGGAAGCGCUUGAUCUGGGGGUUGGAGGGGAGGUGGUGGGAGGAUGGGGGGGAGUGGGUAGGUGGCAUGAAGGGAAGAAUGAAGGAGGAAGUCCAGAGAAGGUGAGAGGGAGAGAGAGGAAAGUGAUUGUGGUUAGAAGGGAAAAGAAACUGCACUAGCAGCCAAGCCAGAGGAAGUGCUCACCAUUCCUCCCUCACCUGCUCAUGUGCCUCCCCAGCCGAGAUGCCAGGAAAGACCCUGGAGUCCUGGAGCAGCCCUAGGCAGCCCCCAGUUGUUGCAGGCAGCAACUGUUCUUGGGAUCAGAGAAGCUCCAGUCCUGAUGUUCCCUCUUGACAGGGUGCCUGCUGCCCUGCCCUUCCUGGGGGGUCUGGCCAAGCCAGAGGCCAGUGAAUGCCCUAAAGGCCAGGAAGUCAGACUGAAUAAGGGGGAGCAACAGAGGCAUUAGAACUGAGACGAGGAUGCGGGCUCAGGAUCCAAGGACAGUGCAGAGAGUCAGUCAGAAUGGGACAGGGGCAGGAGGGAAGUAGGGAGGGGAGAAGGGACCUGCCAGCCCCAGGUAAAUCAAGAGCCAGCAGAGAGCCCUGUGCCUCCUGUCACUGCAGGUCAGUGAGCUCUGGGAGGGAGAUGCAGACUCUACUGGGGGUGCUCACUCUCCAGGGCUCACUGCCCGGAGCUCAGUACAGUUGAUCUGACACCUCUGUCCCUUAUUCCAGACACUGUGCCACACCAGAGCCUGAGGGUAGGCCCCAGGAGACUAGGGCAAACCCACCAGUGGAUGCUGAGUGCAGGGUAGAAGGGAGCUGGAAGGGACCCAGUGAGGGAGGAUGGGAGGACACUAGGCUGCUGACAGCCCCUACCUGUGAGGGACACAUAGGAGACAGCACCCAUCGGUUGUCUUUUGCCCCCUCUGCCUGGAGUAAGAUUCAGCUAGCCACGCAGGAAGGGAUCUGGCCCCAGUGGUGAACCACAGUGGGGUGGACAAACAAUGACUGGCUCUGUGUAGAGACCUGUUCCACCCCAUCUCCCAACCUGGAAGAGAGGCCACUUCCCCCCACUCCUGCCACCAACUCUAGACCCUAAAACUUCCUCUCUCCUUUGGGGGCCAGUCCCCUUUGUGGAGUGCCUGGCAGUGCUGGGCUCAGCUCUGCCUCACAAUACCCACAUGCCACCUCCAGACAAUGGACAAGGGCUGGCUUCAGAGGCUGACUCACUCCCUGGGGAUUGGCCAAGCCAGUGGGGGCUAUCCCGGACCACUGUGGAGACCCGGCCAGGGUGGAGGGAGAGAAGAUGGCCACAGUCUUCUGCAGGUCCCCUUUUUACAAAGGGAAGAAUUGAAGGAGGCAGACAUACACAUUGCCAGGUUUAUGCUAGAGGGAAGUGAUUUAGAGGCUACAGGGAAAAGUCCCCUAAGAACUACUUCUAGGCUGUCACCUCUCAAGUCCCCACACCUGCUUAUAGCCAUCAUCUCCAAGGCUUGCCUGGACAGAGGGGAGGAAAGAGGCCCUUUAGACUGAAACUGGAACCAGCAUGUGGGGGCUUAGUGACCAAAAGAGGGUGUCCUGAAGCAAGCCUGACCUAACAGGCUCUUCUCAGCAAAAGUAUUUAUGGGAUCCCAUGGAGCAACCGUACAUCUCAGUUUGUUUGUUGUUGCAGCAUAAUGAUUAAUUGUGCCCCUUUUGACUCUCAAAAGUGUCCCGGCUUGGACAAUUAAUUAUAUGCAACAGAGAAGAGAUGGGACUGAGGAGGGUGGGGUCCCACAGGUCCUGUUUUCUGGCAGCUAGAGUCUGGGGAAUUCCAGGAAAUCCCGCCUCUCUGCAUGACCCCACAGUGACCCAGCAGUUGGUCAGGGUGGAAGAAAGAAGACUGUGUUCCACCUGGUUUCCCCAGGAGCACUGAGCAGAGGGGCAGCAGUUAAAAGAGAAAGGAAGGCCCUGAUUGGGACCCCUACCAUCCAGUCUUCCAAAAGUCACCAGGAACCCAGCAUCAUUCUCCCUGCCAGUCCUGGCUACUUGUCAGCAGGAAGCGGCCCACAGAGGCCCUAGACAAGGCGUCAGGCACUAGGCUCCUCCUCACCUGCUGCCUGUCCUUCCCCACCCCCAGCUCCCAGGGUAGCACCUUACCCCAGGGACAGAACCUCAGGGACAGAACUACCUUGCCAUCCCAGUGAAUGGUCCAUGUCCCUCCCACACUUCAGAUACCCUGUCGGCAAGCUCUAGGUCUAAUUUUAUCCCCCAGGAAAAGUUGCUCACACACGGAAACAACCUGGUCUCAAUGCUCUUGUAAUCCAGCUUCCUGGCUUGCUCCUUUCCCUUUCUCUUUGGCCCCCCCCUCCCCCCUCCCUGUCUCUGUCAGGGGCCAAAACAGCUUGUGGAAUGUCGUUCCCCACCCCAUCCUCCUCCCUUUCCCUUGGCUCCCACCCUCCAAGGACAGCUCGGCUGCAGCAGGAUCACUCUGUCUCUCUGCAGUCCCCUCCAACUCUGAUUGGCUGUCUCAUGACGCCUGCCCUCUGCCUACCCCGGUGGGCACAGCACCAGCCUCCCGAGUCUGUCUGCAGCACAGGCUCUUGAUCCACCUGGCCUGUUAACCCCCAAGGGCACCGAGGCCUGCCAGAGGGUCAUGAGCUGUCCCCAAGGUGACCUGGCCCAUCAGUACACGGGGACAGCCACCCAGGAGACUCCACUGUCAAAGGACUCCAAUCUCUUUCACCUUAACUUUAAGCAGUGCUGAAGUAGGGUGGGAUGUCCUAUAAUCCCCUAGAAAUAUGUUCUCAUGAGAACAGCCCUGCUUUUCUUCCUAAGCGUCCCUUUGUGUUUUCCAGCAGAGAACCCCAGUCUCUUCAGACAUCUGCCCCUAGAUUUCCCUGCAGAGUCCCAGCCACAAAAGGACUCCUCCCACCCUAGGAUACCUGACCUCUGACUCAUGGGGACCCAUAUCACUUCCAUCACCCCACUGCUUCUAGAGAGUCAAUGGAAGAGCUGCUAGCACUCGUUCUCUGAGAGACCAAAGGGAGGCUGGCAUCCCAGAGGCUUCAGAGUUGCCAAUUAGGUGGGAGACAAACUGAAGGGCUUGGCUGGAAGGGUGCAGAUGGAGCACCUGACUGGGAAUCAGGAGGCCAGUGUUUCUGGUUUGUCCAGAAACCUUUGUGAUUUUGAAUAUUGUCUUAAUUUCAGGCCUCUAAUGUCCAGUUGUGAAUGGCCCUUCCUUGCCUCCCAGGAAGGCUGGGGAGAGAUAACUCAAGCUGUUUUGAAGCUGAGGAGAGAGAGUGUACAUCUCAAGUCACAGGACUGUUAUUAAUGUUGGCCUAUCAUUCUUUUCCCAUGCAAACUAAAACCCCCUGGGGAGGUUUCCAGGGGAGGCUGGGGAGCUCUCCCCACUGUACCCACUGACCUCCAUAGUGGCUGGGACACUGAUCUCCUUUCACAGAGAGACCUCUUAUAGAGAAGUCUGGCUUGACAUAAAUCAGUCAGCCUAAGAACUCGGCCUAAGAGGCCUAAAGCUGAGGACUGUGGUGAUGGUGGGGAUGUCUUUUAAUUAGAGGGUGGCUUCAGCCAAGUUGAAAGCACCAAGACCUCAGCUGAACUGAACUUAGUGUGUGGCAGAAAAGCCCCUCUUGGUCCCUGCUGGGCUUGGCAAUGGGGACAGUCAGUUCUCCCCAGGCUUCUAUCACUGGAACAAUCAGUGUGACGGUACCCAUGUGGAGGGAAGUGGGGCAGGGAUAAAGACCAGUACCACUUGGCCUCUCCCAGGAACCCCCUCUGGGGAAGGUCACAGAGUCACCAAGACUUCCUAGCCAAAGCUUGGGCCUCAGCCUGGACACAGCUUGAAAGACAAAAGCCCAAAAGGUUGGCCUUUCCAGACCUGGAAGCUUCUGAUUCCAUGGGGCCCAGGGAGUUCCCUUCUGGAGGCUGCCCACAGCCAACAUCCUGCCCCACAGGCUGGUCAUGGAUCUCCUCCUAUUGUAAACAGCCUGUGCCUCCUAAUGCAGUGGGCAAAUGUUGGGGGGCCUCCAACCUGGGAGGAGAGGCUGGCAUGGGGCCUGGAGGCAUUGACACCCAGCAUAAUGUGUUUGUGGCAGGCUCUGGCAAGGAUGGCAGAAGAGCUGGCACCCUUACAGUCAGACAUCAAAACUUCCUACCUGGGGGUAUCCAGGAGGCUGACUGGGGUUAGUAUCUCUCCUUCCAGUACAGGCGGGUGGCAGGAAUGAGUUCCCCCACCCCCACCACUGCAGAGGGACCUGGUUUGGGGUAGUGUAGGAUGCAGCAGGAGGAAGCUUCCCCAUGGGUCCUGUCUCAGAGGCAGUGAUGUAUAGAUGAUCCCAAGGGUAGGAUGGUAGGCUAGGCUUCCCUCUCUCAGGGGUCCCUGGGCAGAGGGCGCUGUGGGAAGAGCCAGGAGAUGCCCUUUGCCAGGCUGCGGGAAGGAGGGCCCAAGCGUCUCACCAUCCCUCUCCGGGAGGCAGGCAGUGUUUGUAGGCCUCCUCUGUGUGUCUUCCCAAGGAAGUUGGUGCUGCCCCUGAGCCCAGGGUAGGUGGGUGAGGAGGGGUCAUCCAGGUAACAGCUGACUCAGGAAAGGGCGGGGGACCCUCACCUCCGCGUGUCGCUGACGCGCCUUCCCCAGCCUAACACGCGCGUCUCUGCCGGCGGGCCCCCCCACCUCCCGUCAGCACCGACCCACUCCCCGGUCCCAAAACGCGGACAGCACCCCAGCCCUCGGGGGCCGCUCCGCCGUUGCUCGGAUCAGAGCGAGAAACUUGGAAGCGGCGACGCAACGCCGUCCACCACCAGCAGCCAGAGACAGCGCCUCCCGCCCGGCACAGCCGGGGCUGCUGCGCCGCUGGUCCCCGCGGAGCCGCUGGGAGCAGCGGGCCCUGCGCGCCCCGGCCCUGCCCCGCGCCCGCGCGCCUUACCAUGGCUGCAGCCCGGGCCGGGCCAGCUCCGCAGGGACAGCGUCCGAGCGACCCGCGGCCGGAGCUGCGAGCCGACCUCGAGGGACCGCCGGCCCCCGCCCGCCGCCCAGAGUGCGGACCGGCCGGGGGCGGGGCCGGGGGCGGGGCGAGUCGGCCCUGGGGCGGGGCCUGCCCUCUGAGGCGCGGACGCCUGCAAAGCUGAAGGCGGCCGCGGGCGGCUGGCUGCGGGGAGAGGCGGGCCUUGCAGCCCGUGACCCCCCCUGAUGAGCAGAGGCGCUCAGGACAGCGCAGCACUGCUCACCUGGGUCUUCCUUACUCAGCCCGUAAUAGUAGCCUCUUCAGGCAGCGCAUCACCGUGGGGGCUUGAGAAAAUCCCCCAAGAAAAGGGAAAGGCCAACCUAGCAUCCCUAGGAGAGGUCUUUCGAAGGAGAGGGGUUUGCCCCACGAGUCGGGAGAGACUCCAUUAGUUACCGAAGGUUUUCAGGAAAUGAACCCAACUGAUGUCCAAGUUAACUGAUUGUCCCUACCCCCUCUACACCUCCUAAGGUAGAAUGUCAGACUUUCUCUACCUUUACCCAAGCUAUGAAGAAGAGACAAAAUGUUCCCUUCCUGCAGGACCCUAGAUUAAAGAUUAAAGAGGAUUUGCUGCAUAAAUUAUCCAGGGAUCAUCUGCUGGAAAGGUGGAAGGGAAGAGGCUGAGUGGCCUUUAUGGGGCAGUAGAGUCUUGUCUGGGGCUGAGGGAAGCGGGAAGUGGCAGCCCAGGUGUGAGCCAGUCUAUGCUGGGCAAGCAGGUGAGAUGCUGUGGGGACAGAUGCCUCAGCAGCUUUAGAAGCAUUAGAGGCUCAGAAGGGUCAGCAGCAGCAAGGAAGAAGUAGAUGCUUAGAGGGUGGGGGUUGGUGAGGAUUUUCCGAGCUAAUACAGGGCUGAGCUGGUCAGGCUUCUGUGAAAGUUUCCAGAAGUAUGCCUCUUCCUGACUCCCACAAACUCUCCUCCAGGGCAUGCUGAUUUGCCUGAAUACACUUUGAAUAAAACAGGUCCACAGACAUGGCCCUCUCUAUUGGUAGAACACCCAGAAGCCUGCCUACUCUAUUUCAGUCUGAUCUGUGACCAGUGGUCAUGGUUGGGAUCAAGUUAGAACUUAGCAGAGGGACGGAGGGGGGCCUAGGUAUACAGAUGAGAACACGUUCAGAAAACAUGGGAUGGCUAUUGGAGACGUUAUUAGAUAUUUGGCACUGGUGGACUGAAGGACGGAAGGAGUGCCAUUGCUUAAAGAAAUCAGGGGCAUUCACGGGCUAGCAAGUUGAGGAGGAACCUUCCUAGCUGGGUGACCUUGGGCAACUCACUUUACCUCUCUGGACUUCAGUUCCCACACCAGAAAAUGAGGGGAUUAAACUAGGAUAUCGCCAGCAGCUUGGCUCAGAUAAGAGGGAGCCUCUGAAUGUAUAGAGAGUUUCCUGGAAAAGGCCUGGGGUAGAUGAAGAGAUCUGAAGCUGUACUCAGGAAAACAAAGACAUGAAAGAGUUUCUUUAGAGAGAAACCAAUGGCUAUUGGAAGGCUACAGAAGUAGCAGCAGCUGCUGCCGUCAGACCCGAACAUCAAACUCACUACACAAAGCCCCACUGUUGGGAACUAGCUAUAGGCCACUAACACUCACGUAUGCACUCAUAAGACUGCUUCUUGAGUGCUUCCACUGGCAUUCUGCAUGGCCUGGGCUGGGAGUGCUGGGCCGAGGGGAGAAAACCUAUGUCAAGGAAGACAGGCCCCAUCACAAACAAACCCUUGUUUUCCGCCAAGUGUACUUCCCUCCUCCCCCCAGUCCUGGUUGUAGUCCAAGUGUGGACACAGACACGUCUCAGAAGGCAGCCCAGCUAGCUCAUCCUCAGCUGUGGCUGGAAUCCCAACUCUGCUCUGGCACCAGCUGCCCUGGCCCCCAGCAAGCCCUGUGUGUCCUGAGGCAUGUUGGUGCCAGCUUGUUUUGAGGGAAGUGAGCCCCAAAGAGAGGCCUGGGACUGUGGAACUCAUCUCUACACCAAGACUCUUAGGGUCUUGAUGCUCACCAGUGUCUUUGUAAUCACUACAUCAGCUGCCCAACAUGAGGCAUGUUGGGUGAAGUAAAAGCUAAAGACAGACUUUGAGCCAUUCCAUCUACAUAAAUCUCGCAUACUAACUCUGAAGCACUGUGAGUUUCUGAGAGAACUUGGCCUUGGCUUAGGACCCCAUACCAGCUUUGGCAAUUAGCUCACUGCCUGAAUAUCCCUUCUCCUUCAUGGGCCUCUUUUUCCCCCACUGAGAGAGAACUGGACUCCCCCCAACUCCAGCUCUUGUGUUCUGUGAUGGUGCAGGUAGCGUCUGACACCUGGUCAGAAGCAGGGCCAAAAUAUAGCUGCCCUUGUAUGAGUCACUGACCACUGAGUGCUCCUCCCCAUCUCCAGUUAGCAUGUGGACUGGCCAACCUUGCCUCAGGUACCCCUCAGUCCUUAGAGUCUGACUCUUCCUUGAAAUUCAACAUCCCACCAGGAAAUGAUAUCCUUGACUAGAGUACAAUUUCCCCAUGCACUGCUGGAGUGGGGAUUUCAAGCCAAGGGUCUGGGGAAUGAACACUUUGUUUGGCACAAGGGAUGACUCUUCUGGGAACUCAGAUCAGCACACACCUCCAGUCUGCUAUCAGGAGGUCCCUCUGCUUAGGUCAGGCUAGCAUGGUCUAUGUGGAAAAACUCCUGGCCCCCUCCAUUGGAUCUUUCCUGCCUACCCAUGGGUGAAGGUUGUGUGGCACCAAACUAAAUAAGGAUGCUGUACUUGGGCAAAGUCAAGGUCCAGGUUCAAAAGCCAAGAAUAAAGAGUGAUUAUCACAGGAAAUCAGGAUUUCGGAUCUGCAUGACUAGCAAAGGCCACUUUUGCCUCUCAGUAGCAGAGUUUUCUUAAGUGGCACAAGAACUAAUUGUAUCUCCCUUCCCCCAGAGGUGAUGAGUCACUGAUGAUAUAGUCAGAGAGCUCUGGUAGGGGCAAAGAACUAUUACCGGGUUGUGUCUUUCAAGGAAACCUUAGCCAGCCUGUCCAGAAAGUUCUGUGCAAAGGCAAGAAACCAAAAUACCCUCAACCUCACUCCCACCCCUAAUGUUCCCCAGUGUCUCAUGAUCCUGGAUCAGGCAUGAAAUGUGGGUGGUAAUGUCAGGGAGCACUGUUUCCUGGCACCUGUUGUCUAGCUGUGGUAAGAGGCAGUUCUGGAGCCAGUAGAGUGCCAGAGGCCUGCCAGAGGCCUGCCAGAGGACCUUUCCAACACCUUCUCUGCAGUAGGGCAGGGCACAGGAGCUGAGAGAUGGAAGAGACUUACAUAUGCAUUGGUGUGUGACCCCUUCAAGAGCCCCCACCCUACAUCCCAUCUUCUUAAAAGUUUCCCACGACUAAAAACUGACUCUACUGCCCUUCAAUCUUUGGGCAGUGUGUUAUCAAAGGUCUUCAUUACCUGGAGUUGAAACCUGUGUGUACCUGGACUUUACCCUCCAAGUGCCUCCAUGCUAGAAGCUUUGCUAACUCAUUUCACUGGACUUUGUUUUGUUCUUUGAUGUCCACACUCUUUCAAGUGACCCAUCUAUAGACUUUUCUCUUCCAAACUAACCAUAAGCCCCUCAAGGACAGCGAGUAUGAUCUCUACUCACUUCAAUUCAGUGAACAUGUGAUAUAAUGUCCUCCUGGAUGCCCAGGACUCUGCCCCCAGGAGGUGUCUGAUCAAUAUGAAUUGACUGAAAGGAUUCAUUGAUUAGUUUUCCACUCUGAUUUUGGAGCACAGACAAGCCUUGAGGCUCUGGGCCUCACUGACCCAUCCAUAACUUGCCCUUCAUUCUGGCUGCUUGCCAGCUCAUACUUCAUCUCCCAGCCUUGUAAUUUCCAUGCAAAGACACAAAUGUUACCCUCACUAAAACCUUUCCCUUCAUAUUUUGUGAUAUCUGAAGGUGCUGCUGAAAUAUUGAUAAGUUACUUUCCAGGAAGAUGUGGCUAUGGAAGAAGGGUUUCUACACCACAUAUGAAUCCCUGGGGCAGGGUGCUCCCUAAAAUACUCUCAGUCUUGAGGAGCCAGCUCUGCAAAAUGGGGAGCAAAAGUUCACUUCAUAAGGUUGCCGUGAAGAUUCACUAAGGUAACACACUUAGAAUGGUGCAGGCACUAAAAUGAGUGGUAGCUACUAUCUCAGCUAAUGAGAAAAUUAUCAACACCAAAUCAGCAACUAUCACUGUGACCAUUUCAAAUGCUUUCUCUACAAACAAUUAGGAAUGUGCAUGUGUAAUAGUAUAGAGGGAUGGGAAAAGAGCCCUUGACUAAAGUGACAUUGGAAUGACCAUGCUGCCACCAACUGUAGAGUCAGCUUCUCCAGCUGAACCCCACGCCAUCUCUAGAAAACUAGUCUUGGUUUCAGACUUACUGAGCUGAAUUCCCAAAAACAGCCAUCAUAGAGACUCCUGGAGCUAAAUGACUUUGCCUGUGGUGGGUGUGCCAAGGAAAUGACUUUGGCCCUGCCCUCCCACCUUCAGCGUCAGAGCCUGAGCUUCUCUCAGGAGCUGCCUCACAUUCUGUCCCCUUCCUUCAAGCGCGCACUUGGCCCCCAAGGUGCAGCUGUCUCUGGCCUCUCCCCUCAUGGCAGCUGGGCCAAAGGCAGCUGAGCAGAAGAGGGUAAAGGGACAUGGUCAUUUUGUCACUCAGGAUAACCUUCCUCUGGCUGAGCAGCUGUCAGGGUGGCUUCUGUGUUACAGAUUUUCUUCCUCGCCCAAGUAUGCUUCCUUGCUCUCUGAGACCAAGCUCCCUAAUCUAUCCAGUCCUGCUAUUUCUCCUCUUACUUGAAAACCCCACCAUUUCAAACACCACCAAACCUCUCUGAUAGAAAGAUAGAAUGUUGGAGAUGGGUUCCAAGCAGGGAACCAAGUAACUUCUGGAAAUACACCAGAAAGUCCAAAAUAAAUGUGGCAGGUUCUUCCCUAUGUGGGAUCAUUCUGAGAAGAGUAAAAAACUAAAGGAUUCUGGCCUCAGUUCUACCAUCGACCACAAGGGAGGGGCAUAGGAUUUUCCUGCCCCCAUUUUAUAGUCAGAGGGAGCAAUCUGCUCAGAUCUCACAGUGAAGGCAGGACAUCACCCCCCCUGCCCUGUGCUUCCAGUGGCUCUUGCUGAGGCAUAAUGCACUUUAGCCUGUCCUACGGUCACCAUUUGUCCUAGUUUGCCCAGGACUGGUGGGGGUCCCAGGACACAGGAUGCUAAAACCAGGAACAUCCCAGGCAAACCCUGAGUUGGGUCAACCUAGCCUGUCCCCAGAAUAGCAAUGUGGGUCAGAGGUUACCAGCCUCCCAUCCAGCUCUGGACUUUGCUGCCCAUGGUAGCUGAAAAUGAACAAGGUGCCAUCUGACACGAAAAGAAGCUGGGUAUCAAGGGUCAGGCUGCUAUGAAAAGCCUCCCGAGGUGCCCUGCCCCAUUUUUAGCAGCUCUGCUCCAUUCUUUCAGUUCUCUCUCCUCUCAACUAUAAGCCUUGGUACAAAGCAAGAGAAAAUAAGGGGAGUGGGAAAGAUGGUUCUAAGGUUCCUUUCAGACAGCCCAUAUCCUGGGAUUCUGUUAACAUUCCCAUGAAUCCAGAGACUCCCUGUGUUCCUCCUGGACUCUGGAUUUUUCUCUGUCGAGGAAGUCUGAGCAAAACUUCCCUGAGACUCAAAAGCCAACAGGAGGCUGGCCAUACCAUCCCCCAGGGGCCAAAUGACAGGUCACUCUAAAGACACUGAAGUUUGCCUUAGGUAUCACUGAGAUGGCCUCCCCUGUUUCCUGGCCUGUUUUCCAGAGUUGGUUUCUUGCAUAAUUGAUAGAGAUAGAAGGGAGUAAACCACCUUGUCUGCUGACAGCCUGAGAAGUCAUUUGCAAGGGCAAGUAGGUUAGGUGCUUUGAGGACAAGGUUCUUAGGGCCAAGGCAUCUCCAUCCAUUGGAGCAUUGAAGCCCCUCCCAUCAAGAGCUGCUUUAUUCCAAGGAAUUCCCCAGGACCGUGUGGGAAGACAGCCCCAGCUGACACCAUAGGGCACCCUCAAGACCUUCCUGUUGAGCUUCUGCUAGUCUUGAUACAAAAAAACAAAAUCAUUAGGAAUGAUUCCCUCAUUCCAGCAUAACCUUCUCUGGGGAGAUUCUAGCCCCUAAAUUACCAAUCCAAGGAUGAGAAGCAUCUGUAAUCCCUGCUCCUUAGACAAAAGGGCCUUGAGGAGCCACUUGGGAGGAGACUGACACUUAAGAGAGAGAGAGAGAGAGAGAGAUGGUUGAAUCAGGCUCCAUCCUCAACUAUGGACCCAGAAGGGCCUGUGAAGUUCAACAACAAACAUGCUGCUGUUCACAAGCCAGGAGCUGUGGCUGGCCACCAGAGAAUUCCUGCCAGGAAUGGAAUCUGGAACAGACUCUACAGUCAACCAUUCCCAGAUCGGAGGAACUAGAGGCCUUGGACACUAGCACCAUCGUCUCUAAUGUGGGAAGGUCUGUUGGCCACUCAGCCUGGAGGACAGGCUGGGGAAAGCCUAGCACUCUCAUGGUUUGUGAGGAGUCCCUGGCCCACCUCCAUGACACCGCACUUCCAAAGAGCCAGAGAAGACCAGCAGGCCCAGCUGGUCUCUCCCCAGCUUCUUUUCCCAGCUUCUGGGGAGCAGCUCUGCCGCCGAACAGGGCUGGAGAGCUGCAAUUAUCCAGACAGGAUAAGAGCUAUUUUGGGAAGGAGCCGUUCUGCUGCCAAGGCUUUUGACUUUCUAAACUAAAACAAGAUGCACAAAGAAAGGGGGUGAGGAUGGGGGAGAAAAGGGAAGAACUUUCUCAGUCAAAACCGUCAUAUCCAGAAUGAGGGAAAACACUAACCCCUUCCCAAAGGUAAGAGACUAGCUAUUAAGAUAUCUCUAGCUUUGAGAAGGCGAGUGUAACCUGACCAACCCCCCCCCCAACACACACACAUCCCCUAAUGACUCCUUCUCUCCUAAGUUCCUCCAAGAGCACAUAUUCAGUCUGUUGCAUUUAUUUGGACAUUUGAGCACAAACUAUUUCAUAUUGUUGUUUAAAUGUUUCCUGUCCAUGUCUUAUCUCCCCAACCAGAUGGUAAGUUUCUCAUGGCCAAAGAAUGUGUGUGCUCUGAGGCUUCAAUGCUCUCUCCAGUAGUGCCUAGCAGAGUGCUAGGUAUCUGAAUGAAGUUGUUUAUGAAAGGAAGGGAGAGAGGGAGGAAGGAAGGAAGAGCAAAAGGAAAGAGGGAGAGAAGGAUUUACUGUCUCUCGUGGAGGUGAUCUCUAAAUGUAGUUGUUCCCACCCACAGUUGAGCUUAGGGCAUGGGGCUGAAUAAGAAGCCAUGGCAGAGGGAGUGGCAGCCACAUUUUUGGCACCUCCCCUUCAGCUGUUCCAUCAUCUGAGCUCAGGCUGUCCUGCUCCACCUCCUUUAUUUGUUUUCUAUCUGUAAUUAACUGUCCAUUCUGGGCUAACCUAUGGAUGGGACCCAUUAAAAGCCAUGCUAGGCUCUAGGUAAGGGAGAGAUAGGGUAAGAGAAAGAAUGGAGGCAGGAAGAGCUCAGACUAUCUUAUCAAACAUGGGCCAAGAAGAACUAAAGUAGUUAUAGGAAUAAUGCACUCUGAAAUCAGGACACUCUUUGCCAAAUUCAGGACACAGGGCUGCUGAGAGCAGAGUUUACCUUGUGCCUUUCCAAGUUGAGGACUCAAAUAGUGUGUAACCCAGAAAAGUGUUCCCUUUCUGGAUUGCCCUAGGCUGAAGAGGGGAGAGCCAAGUGGGGGCUGAUCCAAUGUAUGGUUUCCCAGACAGCUUUUAGAUCACCUUUGUGCAAAUCUCCUCCUGGGGAGAUGCAGCUCCCCCCACCCCGCCAAGUGCACAGCAUGGCAAGUAGAACACAGGCUAGAUUUCAGCCCCCACUUGCCCUCUCUGCUAGGUACCCUUGUGCAAUGAACAACUUGCCCAACUAUAGGGAGAGUUCUGUCUGUCUCCCUCCAUUCCUGCUUCCAUAAGAGGUUAAGAGAGGGACUUGGAUAAGGGGGAGCAUGGGAAGACUGGAAGUAACUUCCCAGGGGUGUUCUUACCUCCUCAUCUGUCAUAAUGGAGAAGUAGAAGUCAGGCAUUCCCAAGGGACGGCAAAUGGAAUUCAGAGAGUACCAACAGGAAGGGAAAAAGAGAAUUUUACUAAAGAUCUCCAGUGGACUUUGGCAUAACCUGGCCCAACAUCCUUUCUAGUGAAAGUGGCCCAAAUAGCAACAGCUAGUAAAUUUACAGCAGUAAAUACUGAGGACUCACUGUUACCAGGCACCAUGCUAAGUGCUGUACAUGUAGUAGCUUGGUUAGUCCUCUUAUAAACCCUAGAGGUAGCCAUUGUUCCCACUGACAGUUGGGGCAACUAACAAUUGGAAAAAUAAAAUAACUUACCCAAGGUCACAGUGAAAAAAUACUAGACACAGGACUCAAACCUAAUACUAUAACUCCAGAGUCCACACUACUAAACUUCAGCUUUAUAGAGCUUUGCUCUCUCUGCGGGGCAGGGACAACUUUCUCUGCUCUUUGCUGCCAAUUUGAUAGCUCAUGCGGUUGGGACUGGAUUGCAUUCACAGGACUCUCUCCUCCCUAGGGACUUCCUCAUCCAGAGCCCUGGCCUCCCUCAUGCUCACAGGAAUAAAGCAUAUCUUGGGCCACAACAUUCAAGGCAGAAACUCUUUGUUACUAAUAUUCACUAUACGAGGGUUGGUCCCCUCUCUCUCCACCAGAGAGGUCAAGAGUACAAAGGGGGGGAGGGUGUCACGAGGCCCUGGGGAUACUUAAGGAUUCUAGAGUUGGCUACAGGACCCACUGAUGGCCUCAAGACAGAGGCCUGGAAAUCCCUGGAGAUUGUGCCUGGGAAGCAGCCAAUAAAUACCUCCCAAGUCUGGGCAAGGGGGCUUGAGGAGAGUUCUGACACAAGACCCAAGAGGAGACCCAUCAACCUACAUUAGGGCGGGGUAAACCCUGAGUAAAACUGUGAAACAGGUAGUUUGUCUUGGUGACUUUUUUUGGGGGGGGGAGGAGGGGGUUAAAAAUCACGAGAGGUAAGACUAGCUAAACUGAAAGGCAUAGGCUUAAAUUGUUCUCCAUUUCAGAAAUGACUACUUCCCAUUGAAAGGAGGCUCUCGAAAAUGAAAAAGGUUCCAAGUCCCAAAGGAAUGACUCUAAUAGUGGAAUUAUAGUCAACCCUCUAGUAUGUGUGGUGCUAAUAGACCUAGCUCUGUAGAUACAUAGCGGUCAUCCUUCCACCUGUCCUCCUGCCUCCCAAACUCCAACAACAGACCCACAGGAGGGAAAAUCACAGACCUUUUAGCCACCAGAUGACACGAUUAUACAUUUCCUCAGACACAUCUGAAAGUAACAGAAAUUGUUGCUCUUUUUCACUGUGGGAUGUAUACCUCUCUCCCCACUACUUAACAUUUCCCUUUUAGGCUCUACAUUUCUCCAUCCAAAGGUGCCCUCAGCCCUUGAUCCUCUCCAAGAAGCCCCUGCAGUCUAGGACUAAAUCCUGCCCCACCCUUUUCUCCACCCUCUGUGCCACUGUUAAUGCCUUUCCCCUCUUGGAAGUCUAGGUCCUAGCGUAUCUGUGCUUCACCUUCUCCACUUUGUUGUCAGAAUAUUUACCUGAGAACCUUAUUUUCUUUACUAGCCCUAACCAGCCCUAGUCCCAACUCAGUUCUUUAUCUCCAUUCUUGAGAAGCGCUUCCUACCCUGAAAACCACUCUCUAUUACUUUCCAUUGAAAGGUUAAGCAGCGUUGCCUGGAAGAAUCAAUGCCUGAUGCCUGCCCAAGCAUCGUUAUUGAUGUCAUUAGCUUGGAGCUCAAAAAAGCUGGCAGGGAAGGAAUGGGGCAACAGGCUCAAGGUUUAGCUUGAGCACUGGCAGGAGAGCAGCUCUGAGGCCCAGAAUGAAGAAGGGGACUGACUUUCCUACCCACCCCAAUGUCGCACCUCACUAAAUUGGGGCUGCACCUGGGCAGUCUGCUUCUUCACAUACCCAAGAAGAAAGCACUAAACCUUUGAAUGGGUUGUUUGGAGGUCUGCUUGAGGGCUUGUGGCAUUUCCCUCAAUGGUGCCUGGUUUGGAGACUCCUUUGGUGGUGAUAGUGGUGGUGGUGUUGCUGAUGGUGGUGGUGAUGGACUUGCCUUCUCUCUCUGGAACAUCAUUUCCUCACAGAAAGGACUUGAGUCCAUUUCAAAAAAGGACAAUAAAGGGUCUGGGGGAAGAGGGGACUUAGACUCAAAAUCAGGUGUUGUCGGCCGGCUUUGGGAUGUUUCAACUUCAGGAUUGAGUAAGGCCCACCAUGAACAGUCAGGUCCAUACCUAGGUAAGGCCCGAGGGGGUAAGGGCCGAGGGGUCAGUUCCAGUUCUGCAUGGACCGAGGGCUUUGGGGAGGGUUCUGGAUACCUGAGUGCAGGUCCUGGGGACAUGCAGACACUUUCUGAGGGUCUUUGGGUGUGCUGCUUAUAGCUGGGUUCUGGAGUGACAAACAUAGAUUUGUGGGGGUUCUCAGACACUGCUCGAGAUGUCACACGGGGAGCUGAGUAUAACUGUUCUGCUGAAGAGAUGGUGACCCUGCGGCUGACCUCGCCAUCUCCUCUAGUUGAGGACCUCAGGUUGGACUCUACUUCUGAUGAUAUUAAGUUCUUUGGGGAGGUCUUGGUGUCAGUGUAGACAGACUGCUUAGGGAUAGUCUCAGGAUCUGAACGCCUAGAAACUCGGUGUCCACCACUCAAAUCCUUUAGUAUAGAGAGUCUGAGGGAUGAUUCCAAGUUCAUAUUCCUAUGCAAAGUCUUGGGUUCUGUGUAAAUUGGGCUGGGAUGACUCAUUUCACACUCUUGGCCAGGGAUCUUUCUUUGGGCUGUCCGAGAGUCUGCACUGACUCGGCCAUUGCUAUGUUCUGGGCUAGAAGGUCUUCUUGGAGAUCUGAUCUCAGUAGCAGUCAAACCCUUUUGGAUGGGUUCAGUUUGGACUGCUUCAUCCUUUGGGUAAACCAAAGUCCUACGGGGAACUCUGACCCCUUGUGGGUACUGGACCUUGGAGGGUGGGUCUUCUUGCAAGAUUUGUAAGUUAUCCUUCUGGUCUACAAAACUCAACCGGCGAGAGGAUUUGGCAUCAGGGGUUAAUGAGUAGCGAUUACUGAUGUCACGCCCUGGCUUGCUCUCACCCCCUCUUCGUGCUGAUUCCUCUCUGGAUGGGCUAACAUUCCGUUGCGUCUGGACAGCAUGGGAAGCUGAUGUUUGAGUUUGCUGGAUCUUUCGAUGAAUAGAGGGAUGGCGGUAUGAUUCUGAUUUUGAUUGGGCCUCGCUUCCUCGAGGGAUGGGUGUUCCACUGGGCCCUGACUGGGGGGAGAUAGAACGUGGAUAGUCUGAUGCUGAAUGGAAAGAGGGGAGAUGCCCAGCUUCUGAUCUUCGAUGGGGCGAAGGACUUCGGGGGGCUGCAGCGGUUCGUGAGCUCGAGGCAAUCAUAUAUCCUUGUCCCCGCUGAGGGGUUGUGUUAGUAACCUCAGACCCUUUCUGUGCUGAAACUGCUACCUUGGACCCAGUUUUAUUUGUCUUGACCAUCCGAUAGACUGAGCUCCUCUGGGUAGAUCCCAUAUUUUACUGGCUGGCUUGUAUUGAGGAUCCUAAUGAAGUCUGAAUGUUUACCCUUGGCUUUAAAAGCUGCUGCUCUUGUACUCCCACAAAAGUGGCUGUUAUUCUAAGAGUGUCUCAAAUAGUCCCCUUAGCUACCUGCCUGGUGAUGUCAUAAAGGAAGGAGCUUCCUACUAAACAUCCUGGCAUACUGCCACAGUUCUUCAGAGAAUCUCAAGCAGUAACUGCAAGGAAACUUCGACUUGUCUUUGGAGUUGACACCACCAGAUCUUUGGUCAAGUUCUUAGUAAAACCAGUUUUCCCUAGUACACAGGGAAGGCUCCAGACUCUCUGUUACUCUCCACAGAUUCUAGGAAUUCCCAGACUCAUCUAGAGAAGGAAUCAGUCUGAAUAUCCUGCUAAGGCAAGGCUACUCAACUCAAUCACUCCGUGUUAAUACCAGUUUUAAUAAGA
rnacentral:lncRNA from 1 species